GAUGAACGCUGGCGGCGUGCCUAAUACAUGCAAGUCGAGCGAACAGACGAGGAGCUUGCUCCUCUGACGUUAGCGGCGGACGGGUGAGUAACACGUGGAUAACCUACCUAUAAGUCUGGGAUAACUUCGGGAAACCGGAGCUAAUACCGGAUAAUAUAUUGAACCGCAUGGUUCAAUAGUGAAAGACGGUUUUGCUGUCACUUAUAGAUGGAUCCGCGCCGCAUUAGCUAGUUGGUAAGGUAACGGCUUACCAAGGCGACGAUGCGUAGCCGACCUGAGAGGGUGAUCGGCCACACUGGAACUGAGACACGGUCCAGACUCCUACGGGAGGCAGCAGUAGGGAAUCUUCCGCAAUGGGCGAAAGCCUGACGGAGCAACGCCGCGUGAGUGAUGAAGGUCUUCGGAUCGUAAAACUCUGUUAUUAGGGAAGAACAAAUGUGUAAGUAACUAUGCACGUCUUGACGGUACCUAAUCAGAAAGCCACGGCUAACUACGUG
rnacentral:rRNA from 1 species